rnacentral:rRNA from 1 species
AGGGAUCAUUAAAAAUAUAGCGAGUUUCUCGGAACUUCGCCAACCCCUUGUGAACCUGUACCUGUUUUCGUUGCUUCGGCAGGCGGCCCCGGGGAGGGGUCUCGAGCCUGUAUAGGCGUCUGCCGACAGCUAAAAAAAAUUUAAACUCUGCUGUUUUGAGUCUUCUGAGUUAACUUCAAAAAAAAAUUAAAACUUUCAACAACGGAUCUCUUGGUUUUGGCAUCGAUGAAGAACGCAGCGAAAUGCGAUAAGUAAUGUGAAUUGCAGACUCUAGUGAAUCAUCGAAUCUUUGAACGCAUAUUGUGCCCGCUGGUAUUCCGGCGGGCAUGCCUGUUCGAGCGUCAUUUCAACCCUCAAGCCCUAGUUUGCUUGGUGUUGGGGCAUGCUACGGCGGACUCCUACGUCCUACCCGUAGGCCCUAAAAGAUAGUGGCGGGCUCGUCAGCGGCUCCGAGCGUAGUAAUUUUGCUUCUCGUUCUGGAGGCCUGGCGGGUUCUUCUGGCCGUUAAGACUCUCAAUCAUCUGUCUUACAGAAGGUUUGACCUCGGAUCAGGUAGGAAUACCCGCUGAACUUAAGCAUAUCAAUAAGCGGAGGAAAAGAAACCAACAGGGAUUGCCCUAGUAACGGCGAGUGAAGCGGCAACAGCUCAAAUUUGAAAUCUGGCUUCGGCCCGAAUUGUAAUUUGCAGAGGAUGCUUUUGGUGCAGCGCCUUCUGAGUUCCCUGGAAUGGGACGCCAGAGAGGGUGAGAGCCCCGUAUAGUUGGACGCUAAGCCUUUGUAAAGCUCCUUCGACGAGUCGAGUAGUUUGGGAAUGCUGCUCAAAAUGGGAGGUAAAUUUCUUCUAAAGCUAAAUACAGGCCAAAGACCGAUAGCGCACAAGUAGAGUGAUCGAAAGAUGAAAAGCACUUUGAAAAGAGGGUUAAAAAGUACGUGAAAUUGUUGAAAGGGAAGCGCUUAUGACCAGACGUGGGUCUUGUAAAUCAUCCAGCGUUCUCGCUGGUGCACUUUGCUAGAUUCAGGCCAGCAUCGGUUUUUCCAGGGAGAUAAAGGCUUCGGGAACGUGGCUCCUCCGGGAGUGUUAUAGCCCGUCGCACAAUAUCUUUGGGGGGACCGAGGU